UACGUAGGCAGCGAGCGUUGUUCGGAGUUACUGGGCGUAAAGCGUGCGCAGGCGGUUUUGUAAGCCAGAUGUGAAAUCCCCGGGCUUAACCUGGGAAUGGCAUUUGGGACUGCAAGGCUGGAGUGCGGCAGAGGAGACUGGAAUUCCUGGUGUAGCAUGAUGAACGUAGAUAUCAGGAGGAACACCGAUGGCGAAGGCAGGUCUCUGGGCUGACACUGACGCUCA
rnacentral:rRNA from 1 species